CCAAUCGCGUAUAUUAAAGUUGUUGCAGUUAAAAAGCUCGUAGUUGAAUUUCGGAAUCUGUCCGUUGGUCGGGCUUCACUGUCCGUACUGGUGUGAUGGGUUCUUACCUUCUGAAUAACCAGCAUGCCAUUCACUUGGUGCGCUGGGGAAGCAGGACUAUUACCUUGAAAGAAUUAGAGUGCUCAAAGCAGGCUAGUGCCUGAAUACAUUAGCAUGGAAUAAUAAAAUAGGACGGCAUGGUUCUAUUUUGUUGGUUUCUAGGAUCACCGUAAUGAUUAAUAGGGAUAGUUGGGGGCAUUAGUAUUCAAUUGUCAGAGGUGAAAUUCUUGGAUUUAUUGAAGACUAACUUCUGCGAAAGCAUUUGCCAAGGAUGUUUUCAUUAAUCAAGAACGAAAGUUAGGGGAUCGAAGACGAUCAGAUACCGUCGUAGUCUUAACCAUAAACUAUGCCGACUAGGGAUCGGACGAUGUUAAUUUUUUAAUGACUCGUUCGGCGCCUUACG
rnacentral:rRNA from 1 species